ACAGGACUAAUAACGCUAAACAAAACGUGUUCUCCUCAUCCUACUCUGGAGGAGUAGGCUACGACAGCCUGGAGGUCUUUAUUUGGACGAAAUCGGGAUUUGUGGAUAAUAUUUAUCUUUGGAGUCUACCGGUUUGUCUUCACUAGCAGGGACUGCCUGAGCCUAAUGCAGUCAUUAUUCUGUGAAUAAUCUUCACCCUCUGAAAGCUGGAGGGGGCAGUUCGUACUCUCCAGCGGGACGGACGUCAGACUCUGGCCGUGUGACAGGGAUCCACACGCCUCCACUGUCACCGUCCAGCCCGCCCUCAUACGGCGUGUCGUAGAUGUUUGGAGGCGCGGGCUUUCCCUCU